GACCCGCCUGCCCAGUGUUCAGACUACCUGUUCAGGAAGUAGUGAUUGUACAGUAGUCUGCACAUUGGUUAGGCUGAACA
rnacentral:pre_miRNA from 1 species